rnacentral:rRNA from 1 species
GGCAUCAGUUUGGUUUGCUUGCAAACCAAAGCUGGCGACCGGCGCACGGGUGAGUAACACGUAUCCAACCUACCUCAUACUCGGGGAUAGCCUUUCGAAAGAAAGAUUAAUAUCCGAUAGCAUAUAUUUCCCGCAUGGGUUUUAUAUUAAAGAAAUUCGGUAUGAGAUGGGGAUGCGUUCCAUUAGUUUGUUGGGGGGGUAACGGCCCACCAAGACUACGAUGGAUAGGGGUUCUGAGAGGAAGGUCCCCCACAUUGGAACUGAGACACGGUCCAAACUCCUACGGGAGGCAGCAGUGAGGAAUAUUGGUCAAUGGACGCGAGUCUGAACCAGCCAAGUAGCGUGAAGGAUGACUGCCCUAUGGGUUGUAAACUUCUUUAAUAUGGGAAUAAAGUGGUCCACGUGUGGACUUUUGUAUGUACCAUAUGAAUAAGGAUCGGCUAACUCCGUGCCAGCAGCCGCGGUAAUACGGGAGGAUCCGAGCGUUAUCCGGAUUUAUUGGGUUUAAAGGGAGCGUAGGCGGAUUGUUAAGUCAGUUGUGAAAGUUUGCGGCUCAACCGUAAAUUCAGUUGAUACUGGCAGUCUUGAGUGCAGUAGAGGUGGGC